rnacentral:misc_RNA from 1 species
GAAAUGCGAUAAGUAAUGUGAAUUGUAGAAUUCAGUGAAUCAUCGAAUCUUUGAACGCACCUUGCGCUCCUUGGUAUUCCUUGGAGCAUGCCUUUUUGAGUAUCAUGAAAUCUUCAAAGUAAAUCUUUUGUUAACUCAAUUGGUUUCUACUUUGGUAUUGGAGGUCUUUGCAGCUUCACACCUGCUCCUCUUUGUUCAUUAGCUGGAUCUCAGUGUUAUGCUUGGUUCCACUCGGCGUGAUAAGUUAUCUAUCGCUGAGGACACUGUAAAAGGUGGCCAAGGUAAAUGCAGAUGAACCGCUUCUAAUAGUCCAUUGACUUGGACAAUACUUUUAUGAUCUGAUCUCAAAUCAGGUAGGACUACCCGCUGAACUUAAGC